rnacentral:miRNA from 1 species
GAAAAGUUUGUUCGGGUUUU